rnacentral:rRNA from 1 species
AGAAGGAGCCGAGCAAUGGACGGAGUCGCAGGCCUGUUAAGGGGUUUGAAGCUGUCGGAGGAGGAGAAGAAGGGAGUGAAGAUCAGAUGCGCGAUGCAGGGGAAGGGGAAGGAGUGGUUGAUACAGGCUGUAGGCAAGGUCAUGUCGGAGAAGCUAGCCCACCCAAAUGCCAUCUGCCUUACCUUAGGCAAAGUCUGGUGCCCGAUCAAGGGGAUAGAUUGCAAGGAAAUAGGAGUGAAUCAGUUCAUGUUCACAUUCUUCCAGGAGUCGGGGAAAAGGAAGGCGCUCGAAGAUGGGCCGUGGAUGUUUGACAAAGAUUUGAUGGUGGUAGAGGAGUAUGUGCUAAUGAAGAGGCCGGAGGAUUAUCAGUUCAAUAACAUCCCAAUAUGGGUUAGGGUUUACAACCUUCCUCUAGGCAUGAUGAAUGGCGAUUCUGCAGAG